rnacentral:lncRNA from 1 species
GAGCACCCCCAACUCCGGUUUAGACUUUUCUUGCAGGUCCCGAUGGUAGAUGCGAUCUCCUUAACUCCAGCUUCUCCAACGUCGGCAGAAUUCUGCACCAACAGAAUUGGCGCUAGAGAAAGGGGCUGUGUCUUCGCAGUACCCGUGUUCUUAAAGGAGUACUCAACGUGACUGUCUUCAGUCAUCUUCUUUGACACUUUUUCCUUGUUCUCCUGC